GGGGUCGUGGGGGUCGGUCCUCUCGAGGCGGUCGGGGACGCGGUCGUCGUUCUCCUCACUAUCAAUUGUGUCGCAUGAAUGGCCAUUAUGCCAAUGACCAGAUUGGUAUGUUGACUCCGCUGCGACCGAUCAUAUGACAUCUUCAUCCACAUCCGUGACACAUGUCGCACCAUAUUUGGGCCCCAAUCAAGUUACCUUUGGGAAUGGAUCGGACAACAUGUCAAGUUCUCGCACAAGGUUGGUGUGAUCAUCGCUUGUAUGUUCUCUCUACUAGUCCUCAGGCUCUUUUUGAAUCCACCAAGUCGAAGUUGAAAGCAUCUUUCGAAUUAUGGCACUCUUGAUUAGGACAUGUGUCAUUUGACACCAUUUUACUAUUAAAUAAACAGGGUCGC